rnacentral:rRNA from 1 species
UCGAGGGAGGAGCUUUCGGGCUUCGACCGGCGUACGGGUGCGUAACGCGUAUACAAUCUGCCUUUCACAUAGGGAUAGCCCGAAGAAAUUUGGAUUAAUACCUAAUGGUAUAUAGGGGCGGCAUCACCUUUAUAUUAAAGCUGAGGCGGUGAAAGAUGAGUAUGCGUUCUAUUAGCUAGUUGGAGAGGUAACGGCUCCCCAAGGCGACGAUAGAUAGGGGUUCUGAGAGGGAUAUCCCCCACACUGGUACUGAGAUACGGACCAGACUCCUACGGGAGGCAGCAGUGAGGAAUAUUGGACAAUGGUCGGAAGACUGAUCCAGCCAUGCCGCGUGCAGGAAGACGGCCUUAUGGGUUGUAAACUGCUUUUGCAGGGGAAGAAUAAGGACUACGUGUAGUUUGAUGACGGUACUCUGCGAAUAAGCAUCGGCUAACUCCGCGCCAGCAGCCGCGGUAAUACGGAGGAUGCGAGCGUUAUCCGGAAUCAUUGGGUUUAAAGGGUCCGUAGGCGGGCUAAUAAGUCAGAGGUGAAAGCGCUCAGCUCAACUGAGCAACUGCCUUUGAAACUGUUAGUCUUGAAUGGUUGUGAAGUAGUUGGAAUGUGUAGUGUAGCGGUGAAAUGCUUAGAUAUUACACAGAACACCGAUAGCGAAGGCAUAUUACUAACAAUUAAUUGACGCUGAUGGACGAAAGCGUGGGGAGCGAACAGG